GGAGGGUUCAGCUCAAGUGGCAGAGCGCAUGCUUAGCAUGUACGAGGUGCUGGGUUCAAUCCCCAGUACCUCCU
rfam:Camelus ferus unplaced genomic scaffold scaffold1443, whole genome shotgun sequence.